AGCUGAUAAGUUUGACGGCAACCCAGACAAGUGUCAUGGGUUUUUGUUGCAAUGUUCUGUCUUUUUUGAAAAGUCCUUUGCAAGUUUAGAUCAGGAGGAGAGACUUUGUCAUCUGAGAGAAGGCCUGUGUAUGUAUUGUGGUGGUGUUGGUCAUCUCCUUCAUGAAUGAGUUCAUUGAUCCAAACCUUUGGCGCUGACCCCUGAUUCCGGUGCAACUUCAGGCUUGAAUUUGAAACAACUUCAGAUUCUAGUGGAACUCUUGAAGACCGUGUUGAGAAUUGUUGCAUUGGAUUGAGGUCCCACUGGACCUGGAACCAUCUCUUCUAAAACAGAACCAGUGAAUCUGAUGACAAGUGCAUUACAUGAUAAACUGGAUCCCCCUGCACCAGCGAUUUCCCCAAGUCCACUGAAGGAUAUAAAAGCUGGAUGACCUGCAUGCUGCUACUCCCAAAGGAUACAGGCUAUCAGCCUCCUAUAGCACCCUGGACUGGCUUUGUUUCAGAUGCCCCCUCCAUAGAUGAAUGGAUGCAGCACAGUGAGAGGGUCUGGGAGGAGACAGAUCAGAGGUUGCAUAACGACAUAAGGAGCAAACCGACUGUUACCAUAGAGAGACCCCCAUCAAUCAGUCAGGGGAUCUUGCUUUCUACGAGAGACUUCAGAGUCACUGAGGGAUGUAAAAAAAAAAAAAACCUAUGCAUAAAUAUAUUGGUCCUUUUAAAGUCAUUAAGAGAAUUAAUGAGGUUACAUAUAAAUUGGAUUUGACAAAUGACCUUGCAACAUGCUCCAAUCAGUGCUCUCCUUCACCUGAAUACUGAUCUGUAACACCUGCUGUUUUGAUCACAUGACUAAGUAGUGUUAGAUUCGAGUCCAGGCUUUUACACUAGCUCUUUGUGGUGAGGUGUUGCUUCUUUUACAGAGCUACUGAGUGGUUAUUCUGAUGUGUUUAUAUUUUUGUAUCGAUUGUUUUUGACAUUGCCUUAGGCCUGAUCCCCUUUUGAUUUGUUUGCCUAGUGUUAUGUUUGUUUUUCUGUGCCUCCUGUCUGUUUUGGAUUUGACCUUUGCCUGUUUUUUGACGACGACUCUGGAUCAUGAUUUUAACUAGUAAAGCUUUUUUCUUCUUUUUUUAUCUGCAUG